GUUGUAACCUCGAGACACGUUUUCCGUGCGGCGCUAUGGACAAGUUCCUUGGAACAGGACAUCGUAGAGGGUGAAAAUCCCGUACUUGCCAUGGAUGUACCGUGCUUUGCGAUACGUGCUCUAAGAGUCGAGUUGUUUGGGAUUGCAGCUCAAAAUGGGUGGUAGACUCCAUCUAAAGCUAAAUAUCGGGGAGAGACCGAUAGCGAACAAGUACCGUGAGGGAAAGAUGAAAAGCACUUUGGAAAGAGAGUUAAAAGUACGUGAAAUUGUCGAAAGGGAAGCGCUUGAAGUCAGCCAUGCCGCUCAGGACUCAGCCUGGCUUUUGCUUGGUGUAUUUCCUGGGUAGCAAGUCAGCAUUGGUUUGGAUCGUCGGAGAAGCAUAGUCGGAAUGUGGCGCCCUCGGGCGUGUUAUAGCCUUCUAUUGGAUACGACGAUCUAGACCAAGGAACGCAGCGCGCCUUAUGGCGGGUCUUCGGACACCUUCGCGCUUA
rnacentral:rRNA from 1 species